rnacentral:rRNA from 1 species
CCUACGGGAGGCAGCAGUGAGGAAUAUUGGUCAAUGGGCGAGAGCCUGAACCAGCCAAGUCGCGUGAGGGAGUACUGCCCUAUGGGUUGUAAACCUCUUUUGUCGGGGAGCAAAAGCCGGACGUGUCAGGCUGUGAGAGUACCCGAAGAAGAAGCAUCGGCUAACUCGGUGCCAGCAGCCGCGGUAAUACGGAGGAUGCGAGCGUUAUCCGGAUUUAUUGGGUUAAAAGGGUGCGCAGGCGGAUUUUUAAGUCAGCGGUAAAGUCGUGGGGCUAAACCCCAUCCAGCCGUUGAAACUGGAGAUCUUGAGUGUGCGAGAGGUAGGCGGAAUGCGUGGUGUAGCGGUGAAAUGCUUAGAUAUCACGCAGAACCCCGAUUGCGAAGGCAGCAUACCGGUGUACAACUGACGCUCAGGCACGAAAGCGUGGGUAUCGAACAGGAUUAGAUACCCUUGUAGUC